ACUGUUUCAUGCGUGCUGCGUGACACUCAACAUUAAACAGUGCUUCAAACGACAUCUAUGGAAUAGUUGAGAUAACUUGCGGAACAUCUGUACAGUUUUUGAUACCAACAGAAGGAAAACAAAUUUCAUUAAAACAUUUCGUCGAACGAGAUUUAUAAAGAAAAAUUUGAAAUCAGAUAGAGCGGGACAUGGAGAGUUACGAGCUGCUCCGACACUCAGUUGAGUCACCUACACCUGUACGAGGCUGGAGGUUCGCCAAAGAACUGAUAGCGUAGACGUCGUACCUUCGAAGAUGCCGGACACAAGGACGUGCACACCGGAGCGGCCUUUGAGAGGGGGAUGAAGCCUUUUUCCUCCUCGAUUGGCUGCAACCGCAACGGUUCGGGCCGGCCUCUUUUCACGCCGCUUUUCAUCAUCGCUUUCUGUUGUUCCCGGAGCCAGAACGAAAGGUGUUAAUGAAACUGGCUGCAUUCUCGUGCACCCGCACCUGCGACAUUCCUAGGAAUCCUCGCUAUUGCGCACGCCGUUAAUCACUGUUAAUGUCACUGAAGAAAUUAGAAUUGAAAGGCUGGUUGAAACACUCACCUCGUAAAACUCACUUCACUUGAACGAGAGCCCGCUUCGAGAUUGUCUUCCAAGAAAAUGCUUUCCGCAACUUAAUACAUAGAUUGCUUGAAAUUACUUACGACACAUCGCAGUCUCUUGCAUGACUCUAUUGUUAUGGUUGUCUACAAUCUGCAUUACGCGAAUGCUCGUGAAACUUAAAUAACGUCACCAUUGCAACAAUCGUGGAGGAGUGUUCUUCGGGAAACAGGAAAUUGGUUCGGUGAACAAAAGAUUUGUUGGGUUUUCUAACAUAAAUUGAAUAUCAACACCUUGGAGGAUCAAGCACACAAAUUUGUGUUUCUGUGUAAUCAAUCAUUUACGUUCUAGCGAAACGUCAUGUCAAAUGAUUGAAUUACAUCAUAUAAAUGAAUCUUUGUCGAAGAAAUUCCGCUGUACAUUAAUACGCCUUGUAUAUUUUCGAAGACCUAAAUAUUUCACAUAUGGCGAAACAUGCCGGGAAGAAGUUGCGUGCGAAAAACACACCGGUCCACAAAGUGUUAAUAAAACAAUGUAACACCUUCGCGCGAGUAACGCGUUAAUUAAUUUAUUAGUAUUUAAUAACAGGUAUUAACCUGCUUCGCGCGGUGUUAUCGACUUCCUGUCACAGAACUUUACGCCGAUAACGUUUAAUCGAGUAAAGCAAAAUCGAUAUAUCAGUAUCGUCAAUUCUUUAUUUCUUCCUUCAUACAUUAUUCUCUUAAUCAUGUAACAACAAGUGCCAGAUAACAAUUUCACAAUAUAUGUAUAUCAGCAACUUAAACGCAAGCAGGAACAUACGCCUGUGUAUAAAUAAACUCACGAGGAAACAAUAUAUCAUGUAUUAUAGAUACUCUUAGCUUAUCGAACGUUAAAUCCCUCGAAUUAAAAUCCGCGAUACGCGGUAUCGCUCAAGUAUCGGCCUGCGCGAGUUAUGCAGGCCAACGGAAAGGAAUUAUCGGUGUCUACAGUUACAUAUGUGUCACGCGAUGGAUGGAUCUUUUCCCUUUGGCCGGUUUUUUUUUUUUUGGCGUAAAACGAAGUUUUAUUGAACAAUUAUCUAUGCGCGCGUAAUGCGAAAAGCUUUCUCAAAACGGCUAGGCUCGUUAAAUAAAAUUCGCUUAUUGAGGCAAUGGGGAAACUUCAUUAUAUUUUCACUCUCAACUUCGUUUUACUCCUAACAAUAAAAUAAACCCUGUUAACAGCCCGUUAUAUAUAUUUUCCGCUUUACUAUUACUUAUACAAUACAAUAUUACUCAUAUCAACCAUUGUGAUUUACCAUUACCUUUGUUCAAAAAAAAAAAUCACAGAACACAUAAAGAUACUUUCAUACAGGCAAAAAAAUAACAUGCAAAACGAAGGAAUAUGAUAAAAGAUGCAACUUAUGAUGAUCUUUUGAAGCCGUGGUAUUUUACGUACCAAAUAUUAUGAGCCUUUGAAAUGAGCUCAAGAUUUGUGGGAAUAGUUAUAAGCGGAGCAGGUCCAGGUAUCCAACUCGUUUUC